UCCAACCAUCAUUCAGCAAGCACAUUUGCAUAAAUACGUAGAAGCACCUUGUGAUUUAGGGAAAUUACAAAUAUUUAUAACUCCCGACGAAAAAGAAUGAAAAUGUCUUAAUUCUUAUGUGAAGAGUGUAAAAUUAUUUAAACCCAAACGCAAUAAAUCGUCGCAUCCCAACUUAGAUUACACAGACAAGACUCGAAAAGAGCAAAUUAAUGGAAUUAAGAGGUUUGGAUAAUCUUAUCGAUAGUACAACUUGACACUGAAUGCCGUUCUAUAAAUUUUGAAUUCAAGUCGACUGCAACUGCAAUUCAAAACGACAAGGUCAUAAAUCUGAAUAGAAAUAAAAUGAAAACAACUCCAUUUGAUGACUCUUCUUCAUUCGAAAUCUGUAAGAAUACAAUUAGAAUGAAAGUCAAAGGUUUCAUCUUCUCAGAUUGGACAUUUUAAAUGUAGAUGGAAGAAAUAAGCUUAUAAACUGGAUUUGCAACCCAGUAGUUUGUUGUUAUAUCGCGCUGGCGUUUUGAUAAUUUGGAACCAGAAGUUAGAGAGCGUAUGUAUGUACAUACAUUCACCUGUAGCUUUAUCCUGCUCCUCAUUAGGUUUCACAACAAUUCUCUUCAACGCACAACACUUUGGAGGUACUGCAUCUUCAGGUGACAACUAAAAGUACUUACACAUACACAUGGCUGCGGACGUUGGACACACAAUUUCUUAUCCUGCAACAUAUGCAUCGUAAAAAGUGAGGUUGUGAGAUCCACAAUAAGUCAGCGUCUUGUUUUUAAUAUGGCAAAACAAGACCAGAGAUCAUUAUCCCUGAAACACUUUUGCGCAAGUAUUUAUACUACAAGUUCGUCUACCCCUAUGAUUUGAUCACUACUGGUUAAGUGUAUAAUUAAUAGAGACCCCAAAUAUUAACCUUUUUGCUAAAUUAUGCACCAAAUAUGUUGAAACUCUACAAUGUUUUUUACAUGUUAUGUUAAUUUAGGGUUCAGCUAAUAACCGUGCAUAUGUAUUACUUGUCCCAAGUUUGAAAUAUUUUAGACGGCAUAAUUGAAGUUUAGGCCUUCGAUUUACAAUUAAGUCCAAUGUUGCUGCAUAUAUAUUUUGUUAUUGGAGUAUAAAUGCAAAACCUAUUGAUGACAAUAGGAUCACUGCUGUUCAAAGUUGUCUUAAACUAGGUUGACAAAAGGCAAGGAGUGCAUACAAAUUUUUAUCAUGAGAAUAUCAAUAUUUUUAGCAUUAUUAGUGUUUCUUCUCCACAUUUGUGUCAAUCAGUCUGUCCCAUUUAAAGGACUUCUGAAAAAAGACGGUGGAAGCUAUGGUGGGGGUGGAUCUUAUGGUGCUAGUAGGGAGGGCAGCUAUGGGGGGAAGGGCGGAAGUUAUGGUGGUGGGGGGAAGGGGGGCAAAGGAGGUAAAAGUGGGAUCAAAUCCAUCAUAUCCGAAAUUAAGAAUUUGAAAAAGCGGCUGAAACAGGAAUUAUUCUCGAAAAAUAAAGGGAGUAAAGGUUCAUCUUCUAAUUACUAAAGUCUAUAAUUUAAAAAAUUUGUACUUGUAUAUAUCUCAACUUAAUUUGCCAGUAAAUAAACACAGUGUAAGGCGAAACUCGAAA